GGGAAUCUAGCGAAUGAGCAGGGGUAGUUUGUUCUCUCUGUGUAACUCCGGAAAAAUGCGCUGUGAAAGUGGGAUCCAGGUUGGGGGGAAAAAAAGGAGAGGAUAUGUAUACCCCGAAGCUGGUAUCUUCUUUCAGGUCCCUAAAAUCUGAAGACUGUCCUCCAUCCUGAUUUUUUCUUUUUUCUUUUUUUAAAGGAACGGGAGUCCUAGCUCCGUUUCCUGGGAAAACUGAGCGCCAGCUUUCUGGACAAGCAGCCGGGGCAUUCGGUUCAGUUCAGCAAACCGGGCGUCUGCCUCAAAGCCCGCCCCUCCACCCCUAGAGUUUAUCUUUGAAGAAACAAAAGCCAUGCUUGGCCGGGUGAAGUUGAGUACCUGAGUCAGACUGCUGAUUUGUUGGAUGUAUGACCUUGGGCGAGUCACUCAGGCUCACUGUACUUCCGUUUCUUCAUCUAAAAUGGAGAUGAUGUGGGAUGUCCCUGGUGGUCCAGUGGUUAAGACUUCGUCUUCCAAUGCAGCGGAUGUGGGUUCGAUCCCUGUUCAGGAAGGUUCGUCAUUGCAUUUACAACAACAUUUUAAACUGAAAAAACUGAGGCUUGGAGGGGUUAGGUGAUUUUCUCAAGAUUGUGAAUUUCUACUUAUCUUUCAAGAUUCAGAUCCAGCGUCUCCUCCCCUGAAGUUCUUCCUAACCACUCUGGGUCCUCUCUGUUUUCUUGGCAUCCGACUGCAUUUCUCUCUCUUACACAGCACUGCCUGUGGGGUGUUUGCCUGCAGGUCUCCCUCUUCAGGGGCUUCCCAGGUGGCGCUAGUGGUAAAGAACCUGCCUGGCAAUGCAAGAGACGUAAGAGACUUGGGUUCAAUCCCUGGGUCGGGAAGAUCCUCCACCACAAGCCCUUCUAGAAUCAGGGGUUGCCUGUGCCUUGGAACCCUCAGAACCUUGUCUGGGCCCAUGAUUCCCAAGGAGGCGCUCCGUGAUUGGUACUGACAGUACUAUCAUUGUCCACUUGGGGGCAACAUACUCAGCGGCAAAACCCC
ensembl:lncRNA